rnacentral:rRNA from 1 species
UUCCGGUUGAUCCUGCCGGACCCGACUGCUAUCGGAUUGAGAUUUAGCCAUGCGAGUCGAACGUCCCCCUGUUGCGGGGGGCGUGGCGUACGGCUCAGUAACACGUAGUCAACCUGCCCUGGAGACAAGGACAACCCCGGGAAACUGGGAUUAAUCCUUGAUAGGUCAUCUCAUCUGGAAGGAGAGAUGGCUUAAAGGGGUACGCGGGCUUCUUCUGCGUAUUCGCUCCAGGAUGGGACUGCGUCCGAUCAGGCUGUUGGCGGGGUAAUGGCCCACCAAACCUGUAACCGGUACGGGCCUUGAGAGAGGUGGCCCGGAGAUGGACACUGAGAGAAGGGUCCAGGUCCUACGGGGCGCAGCAGGCGCGAAACCUUCGCAAUGCGCGAAAGCGUGACGAGGUUAAUCCGAGUGACUCCCGCUGAGGGGGUCUUUUGUCAGCUGUAAAUAGGCAGGCGAAUAAGGGGAGGGCAAGCCUGGUGUCAGCCGCCGCGGUAAUACCAGCUCCUCGAGUGGUCGGGGCGAUUAUUGGGCCUAAAGCAUCCGUAGCCGGUUCCGUAGGUCCUCUGUUAAAUCCAACCGCUCAACGGUUGACCUGCAGAGGAUACCGCGGGACUAGGAGGCGGGAGAGGCGGACGGUAUUCCGCGUGUAGGGGUAAAAUCCUUUGAUCCGCGGAGGACCACCAGUGGCGAAAGCGGUCCGCCAGAACGCGCUCGACGGUGAGGGAUGAAAGCUGGGGGAGCGAACCGGAUUAGAUACCCGGGUAGUCCCAGCCGUAAACGAUGCUAGCUAGAUGAUUC